UGAAAGCUCUCAGUUGACACAACAAGCAAACCCGAAAACAGUUCAAAACGUGUAGCCAAGGUGUCCGCAAAUUGUUGCAGAAUUCCUAACCGGAAUGGACCAUUUUGCGAACCCGUUGUUGAACCGGUCAUCGGGCGUUCCGUAUUGUGUUUUCUGAUCACAAAUCCGGGAUGUUUUCGUGACAGAGCAGAGGCGCGGUCAACGUCGGUGAUCUGUUGGAACCGGACCUGCGGCAGAGCUGAAAAGAUACAGCGGGUUGAACAAGUGGGCCGUUAAAGAUGCAAGCUGAAAUCGGUUCCGGCGGCUGCU